rnacentral:rRNA from 1 species
AAUAGUACCAUGCUGAAUAUACCGGUUCUCGUUAGAUCACCGAAGUCAAGCAUCAUUGGGCGCGGUCAGUACUUGGGUGGGUGACCACCUGGGAACACUGCGUGCCGUU